AUUUGACCUUUUCAAUUGUGAUUUUGUAUUCAACUUAUAUGCUCUGUAUUUUAUCCUUUUUUUUCCAGGGGAAAGCCUUGGUAUGAACCUGAUUGGUGGAAAUUUGGGGAUGAAAAAUCGUAUUUCCGACAUGCAUCUGGUUCACUUGUUAUACUUUCAAAGAAUUUGGCACAGUACAUUAACAUAAACAGUGUAUCUUUGAAGACAU